GAUGAACGCUGGCGGCGUGCCUAAUACAUGCAAGUCGAGCGAACAGACGAGGAGCUUGCUCCUCUGACGUUAGCGGCGGACGGGUGAGUAACACGUGGAUAACCUACCUAUAAGACUGGGAUAACUUCGGGAAACCGGAGCUAAUACCGGAUAAUAUAUUGAACCGCAUGGUUCAAUAGUAAAAGACGGUUUUGCUGUCACUUAUAGAUGGAUCCGCGCCGCAUUAACUAGUUGGUAAGGUAACGGCUUACCAAGGCAACGAUGCGUAGCCGACCUGAGAGGGUGAUCGGCCACACUGGAACUGAGACACGGUCCAGACUCCUACGGGAGGCAGCAGUAGGGAAUCUUCCGCAAUGGGCGAAAGCCUGACGGAGCAACGCCGCGUGAGUGAUGAAGGUCUUCGGAUCGUAAAACUCUGUUAUUAGGGAAGAACAAAUGUGUAAGUAACUAUGCACGUCUUGACGGUACCUAAUCAGAAAGCCACGGCUAACUACGUG
rnacentral:rRNA from 1 species